rnacentral:tRNA from 1 species
AAAAAUUUAGUUAAAUUAUAACAUUAGCUUGUCAGGCUGGAAUCAUUCAUUUAGAAUAAUUUUUU